AACUUUCAACAAUGGAUCACUUGGCUCUCGCAUCGAUGAAGAACGCAGCGAAAGUGCGAAACGUAAUGUGAAUUGCAGAAUUCAGUGAAUCAUUGAAUCUUUGAACGCAUCUUGCGCUCCUUGGUAUUCCGAGGAGCAUGCCUGUUUGAGUGUCGUGUUGGAAACUCAAGCCCUCCCUUCCUCUGGGCAAGAGGUGGGCUUGGAUUUGGAUGCCUGCGGCGGGGCGAUCGUGUUGCCUCGCCGCUCGUCUUGAAAUGUAUCAGCUUGGUCCCUCAAAGCCGGUUUAACGACGGUGUGAUAAUGGGCACUCGUGUUGAAUGUGGCGCCGUCCGGUGCCGGCUUCUGUUGGGGAUCGCUUACAGCCGUCCUUUUGGGACAAACGCUUGCGACAUCUGACCUCAAAUCAGGUAGGACUACCCGCUGAACUUAAGCAUAUCAAUAAGCGGAGGCU
rnacentral:misc_RNA from 1 species